rnacentral:rRNA from 1 species
AUUGAACGCUGGCGGAAUGCUUUACACACGCAAGUCGAACGGCAGCACGGACUUCGGUCUGGUGGCGAGUGGCGAACGGGUGAGUAAUGUAUCGGAACGUGCCCAGUCGUGGGGGAUAACGUAGUGAAAAUUACGCUAAUACCGCAUACGAUCUAUGGAUGAAAGCGGGGGAUCGCAUGACCUCGCCCGAUUGGAGCGGCCGAUAUCAGAUUAGGUAGUUGGUGGGGUAAAGGCCCACCAAGCCAACGAUCUGUAGCUGGUCUGAGAGGACGACCAGCCACACUGGAACUGAGACACGGUCCAGACUCCUACGGGAGGCAGCAGUGGGGAAUUUUGGACAAUGGGCGAAAGCCUGAUCCAGCCAUUCCGCGUGCAGGAUGAAGGCCCUCGGGUUGUAAACUGCUUUUGUACAGAACGAAAAGGUUUCUACUAAUACUAGGAGCUCAUGACGGUGCUGUAAGAAUAAGCACCGGCUAACUACGUGCCAGCCGCCGCAGUAA